rnacentral:lncRNA from 1 species
CCUUGUUCUUAAAGGAGUACUCAACGGGACUGUCUUCGAUCAUCUUCUUCGACAUCUUCUUCUUCUUCUCCGAUCAGAUCCCAACCUAAUGCCUCCCCGAAAGGCAUCCACCAGAUGAUCUACGACCUCCAUUGUCAGAUCUCAGCAAGAUCCACCAGCUCCGACCUCGUCUCCAAUUUCCCAGGCUCCUCUUCCUCCGGCAACGA